ACCGAAGCGAUCAGGCAAUUUCCCCAGUUUCUAUUCCUCUUCUCUGAACUAAACGACAUAUACAACACAUACGAAAAAUUCAGAGACUAUCUAAAACAGACGUUGAAUGGCACACGGUUCAAAAUUGCGAUAGAAGAUCUGAAUUACGACGUCACCAAUAAGAAAACUGGCGUUUUAAAAGCGAUUGAGCGAGUGAAUGAUUUAGCUUACAAGGAUUGGGAAAGCGUCAAUAAAAAAAUGAACCAGAUGUUUGAAGAAAAUUACUGGUGCAAAAACACGAAACAAUCACCGCAACAAGUUAGUUAUAACUUGUACAAUCUCGUCGCUCUGGCUCAGUUGAAAGCGUAUGUUCUUCAACAAUUCGCUUUACUUGGUAAUAUGCUAUGGGAUGAUAGUA